rnacentral:lncRNA from 12 species
AAAUAAAAAUCCAACAUGCCCACCACCUUGCUAAAGGAAAAACUAUCACAGGAAAUUCUUUCAGGAAGUUAAUUUCACUCACAAAAUUUUGGACGCUGAAUCUGCCAUGAGACAUGAAAUUUCAAUUGUCAAGCCACAGAGAUUGCAAAGGACAUUUUAGAGCUGCACCUUGACUUGUGACAGGGAAGACUUUAUUGAAGAAGUCAUAGUGUUAUGUGGAUUUAGCUUCUCUUGUCAGCAACAGGAUACCUGUGUUGACCCACUCAAGAUGUCCCUAAGCCUUUCUCAACACCUUUUGUAAAAUUGUCUGCAGUGAAGCAAUUUUUGUAACUUUCCCUAGGAGCUCAUUUUUUCUCAUUAAAGGAGCAUGGUGGUGUUUGGUACAUUUGAUUCCCUUUGUCGGCCUGCUG